rnacentral:misc_RNA from 1 species
UGGCUUAAUCUUUGAGACAAGCAUAUGACUACUGGCAGGAUCAACCAGGUAGCAUUCCUCCUCGACGUCGCCAACCAUGUACAGACAAGCCGAAACAUGACCGACGGUCGUGUUUUAGAGAAGCGAGAACGCUUAACGAGGGCAAAAACAAGAUCAAGAUAGAUCCCAUGCCCACAUCAGGUUCCAUAUCCAAGAGUCCAAGCAAUGAUACAUGAGCCACAUCAUCAAUGCAAUGCAUCGAUGGCAUGGAUCACAAAGACCGCCUUGAGGUUCAUCCCACGCCACAUGAGCGACGCAUGACGAAAAGAGACAUCAAUUGAUCCAUAGGAUACCAUCGAUUAGGUAUGCAACACAGGAAACCCACUAUAUGCUCAAGGCGAUACAAGCCUUGACGCACAACUGAAGAGGUAUGCACGCAUGGACGUUGCUGCACAAGCAGUCAUCCAACCACCCGUAACAUACCAAACACCACUCAUGCACCUUCCCGGUCGUCAUUCCCCGAAACCGCCCAACUAGUGACCACCCGCCCAGCAUCAGAUGCAAGCAAGCAACCAAAAGCCAAAAACAGCCCCAAGAA